AAUGAACGUUGGCGGCGUGGAUUAGGCAUGCAAGUCGUACGAGAAUCGUAGCAAUACGAGGAAAGUGGCGGAAGGGAGAGGAUUACGUGGGAAUCUACCCUCAGAACUGGGAUCGCGGCGGGAAACUGCCGGUAAUACCAGAUAAUGUCUGUGGACCAAAGGUGUGAUUCCGUCUGGGGAUGAGCCCACGUCCUAUUAGCUAGUUGGCAGGGUAAUGGCCUACCAAGGCAAUGAUGGGUAGCGGGUGUGAGAGCAUGACCCGCCUCACUGGGACUGAGAACUGCCCAGACACCUACGGGUGGCUGCAGUCGAGAAUCUUCGGCAAUGAGCGCAAGCUUGACCGAGCGACGCCGCGUGCGGGAUGAAGGCCUUCGGGUUGUAAACCGCUGUCGUAGGGGAGCAAGAGAUGAGGGUACUCCCUCUGAUUUGAGCGAUCCUAGGAGGAAGGACGGGCUAAGUUCGUGCCAGCAGCCGCAGUAACAC
rnacentral:rRNA from 1 species